rnacentral:rRNA from 1 species
CGGGAGCUAACGCGUUAAAUCGACCGCUGGGGAGUACGGCCGCAAGGUUAAAACUCAAAUGAAUUGACGGGGGCCCGCACGAGCGGUGGAGCAUGUGGUUUAAUUCGAUGCAACGCGAAGAACCUUACCUACUCUUGACAUCCAGAGAACUUUCCAGAGAUGGAUUGGUGCCUUCGGGAACUCUGAGACAGGUGCUGCAUGGCUGUCGUCAGCUCGUGUUGUGAAAUGUUGGGUUAAGUCCCGCAACGAGCGCAACCCUUAUCCUUUGUUGCCAGCGGUUCGGCCGGGAACUCAAAGGAGACUGCCAGUGAUAAACUGGAGGAAGGUGGGGAUGACGUCAAGUCAUCAUGGCCCUUACGAGUAGGGCUACACACGUGCUACAAUGGCGUAUACAAAGAGAAGCGACCUCGCGAGAGCAAGCGGACCUCAUAAAGUACGUCGUAGUCCGGAUUGGAGUCUGCAACUCGACUCCAUGAAGUCGGAAUCGCUAGUAAUCGUAGAUCAGAAUGCUACGGUGAAUACGUUCCCGGGCCUUGUACACACCGCCCGUCACACCAUGGGAGUGGGUUGCAAAAGAAGUAGGUAGCUUAACCUUCGGGAGGGCGCUUACCACUUUGUGAUUCAUGACUGGGGUGAAGUCGUAACAAGGUAACCA